UACGAAGGGGGGCUAGCGUUGCUCGGAAUCACUGGGCGUAAAGGGUGCGUAGGCGGGUCUUUAAGUCAGGGGUGAAAUCCUGGAGCUCAACUCCAGAACUGCCUUUGAUACUGAGGAUCUUGAGUAUGGGAGAGGUGAGUGGAACUGCGAGUGUAGAGGUGAAAUUCGUAGAUAUUCGCAAGAACACCAGUGGCGAAGGCGGCUCACUGGCCCAUUACUGACGCUGAGGCACGAAAGCGUGGGGAGCAAACAGG
rnacentral:rRNA from 1 species